rnacentral:rRNA from 1 species
AGAUUGAACGCUGGCGGCAGGCCUAACACAUGCAAGUCGAGCGGUAGAGAGGUGCUCGCACCUCUUGAGAGCGGCGGACGGGUGAGUAAUGCCUAGGAAUCUGCCUAGUGGUGGGGGAUAACGUUCGGAAACGGACGCUAAUACCGCAUACGUCCUACGGGAGAAAGCGGGGGACCUUCGGGCCUCGCGCCAUUAGAUGAGCCUAGGUCGGAUUAGCUAGUUGGUGAGGUAAUGGCUCACCAAAGGCGACGAUCCGUAACUGGUCUGAGAGGAUGAUCAGUCACACUGGAACUGAGACACGGUCCAGACUCCUACGGGAGGCAGCAGUGGGAAUAUUGGACAAUGGCGAAAGCCUGAUCCAGCCAUGCCGCGUGUGUGAAGAAGGGUCUUCGGAUUGUAAAGCACUUUAAGUUGGAGGAAGGUUGUAACUUAAUACGUUGCAACUUUGACGUUACGACAGAAUAAGCACCGCUAACUUCGUGCCAGCAGCCG